UCGCCAAGAACCGGAUCGUGUUCACCGACUUCUCCACCAGUGAGGUCUCAGUAGUCUUGUCGAGAGUCUCGACCGCCGCAGCCCGGACCGGGCGGCUCAGGCGGCGCCGUGGGACCCGGGCGAGCUUGACGGAGGCGGCGGCGGAGGAGGUGGAUUUGAGGCCGGAGAAGGAGGGGAGGGAGAUGGCGGAGGAGAGGGAGACGCGGUCUGAGGUGGAGUUGGAGUGGGAGAUGGCCCGGGCGAGGAGGGCCUGGGAGAGAGUGACGGAGGAGGAGGAAGUCAUGGUGUGGAAGCAGAAGAAGGGUCUCUUCUCAGAGAAGAAGAAGAAGAAGAAGAGAGAGAGUGAAGGAGAGGAGAGGAGAGACCGUUGAAGAUUUGAGAAGGCGUUCUCUUUGAUU
rnacentral:lncRNA from 1 species